UUUUUAAGUGAAUGGCACUAAAAAUUCUCAGAACAUCUUUCCAAGGUGUAAAGGGCGGCUCCUGGGGGGCUGGUGGGCCACCAGCUCAGAGUCAGGCAUUUUCCUCUCCUGAGCUGAUGACCAGUUGGUAAAGGAAGGCACAGCAAGGAGCCGAGACUCAGACUGGGAGACAGUCGGAACAUGGAGGCAGGUGAGGUGGCCUGGCUCCCAGAGUGCAGAUUCCUGUGAAAAGAUUCAGCUGCUUUUUAAUUUGUUCCUCAUUCUACCAUGUGUUUGGGGGUGACAGAUAGAUUCCAUCUUCCUUUUGUGUUUAAAUGGGGCAGAUAGAAAGGCUGGGUGAAACCAGCUUAAGGUGUGUAACAGACUUGGUGGCAGCUUUUGAUGAAGUUCCACCUGGGGAGAGGUAGGGCAGAGCCUGCUUACAACUUGUUGGCAGGUUUUAUAUUGUGCAAUACUGGGAGGAGGAUGCAGGAGAUUCCCUUUCAUGCUUACCUACGACCACCUACUUUAGAAUUUUUCUGUAGAACAUUCUAGAACUUUGAACCCAGGUCAGAGGCUUUAAGCAGACAAGGAUGAACCUUUAUAUAAGCAGUAUUCCAAUGUGUAACAAAUUGAUGAGAUUUCAGGUUUUGGAUUUUGUUCAGGAAGCACUUUGGAAAAUGUGGGAGGUUUAUUUUUUUGCACUAGUCUCUGAUUUGUUACCUCACCCCCUCAAUAAAGUAGUAACUCAGAUUCGUCCUGUAAAAAUGGAUUCUACUCAUCUGAGCACUUUUUAAAAGUACAACAGAAAGACAAGAUGUGGAACAUAAUCCUUCAAGGUUAGUAUUUGAAUCUCUGUCUGUUAAACUGUAGAUUUCAUUGGCCUGUCAUUCUUUCUGAAAACCCUUCUUUAAAACUUGACUAGAACAAGACUAAAUUUCUGAGUUUAGAUAUGAAAUGAAGCCACUCAUGUAGUCCCUUGAAUUCACAUUGGGGAUACAGCAAAGGACACAAGUGACCACAGUACUAUUGGUGGGAAAACAUGAAAUAAUUAAACAAAACGAUACAGGACUUCGAGAUUCCUGUCACUGGCUCUCUAUCCCCACUUCUACCCCACAAUGUGGAGAAGUAAAUUUUCUAGCCUUUUUUCUCAAGUUCUAAAAUCUUGGAAUACUGCUGGAUUGUUGGGCAUGGGACUGAAGGAUGGAUAAACACAAGGCACAAAUUUGUAAAGAACACCGUUUCUUUCCCAAACUCUCCCAAGCUGAUUAGUGGAAAGCAGUGUAGGCACAAUUUGAAAACAACAAGCUUAGAACUCUGUGCCAAAAAUCUUAAUUUUAAAUAAAAAUAUGUAAAGAUAUAUAUUUCAUCUGCUGAAAAGAAACUGACUUUUAAUUUAGAAUUUUAUUAUAGGAAUAUGAUUCAUCAAGAGAUAUGAUGUAUAUUUUUGAGAAUGCCAAAACUAAAUUUUCAGAAGUUGUAGUUUAUGAAAUCUAAAAAGGAAGGUUGAAAUGGAAAAUGACCUUAAAGAUAAAUUUUCUGAUUUUUCCUGGUGUCCUAUAUUAAUAAAUACUAUGAGUCUGACUUUCUGAAACUGAAGGAGAAAACAUGAAAAUUUUUUCUAACACUUCUUCUUGUUAAGCAGAUAAACGAAAUUCAGCUUUUGCUAAUUAAAAGUUAGAUAAAGAAUUUGGAUGACGUGUAAAUUUCUAAAAAGGAGC
rnacentral:lncRNA from 1 species